AUUGAACGCUGGCGGCAGGCCUAACACAUGCAAGUCGAGCGGAUGAAGGGAGCUUGCUCCUGGAUUCAGCGGCGGACGGGUGAGUAAUGCCUAGGAAUCUGCCUGGUAGUGGGGGAUAACGUCCGGAAACGGGCGCUAAUACCGCAUACGUCCUGAGGGAGAAAGUGGGGGAUCUUCGGACCUCACGCUAUCAGAUGAGCCUAGGUCGGAUUAGCUAGUUGGUGGGGUAAAGGCCUACCAAGGCGACGAUCCGUAACUGGUCUGAGAGGAUGAUCAGCCACACUGGGACUGAGACACGGUCCAGACUCCUACGGGAGGCAGCAGUGGGGAAUAUUGGACAAUGGGCGAAAGCCUGAUCCAGCCAUGCCGCGUGUGUGAAGAAGGUCUUCGGAUUGUAAAGCACUUUAAGUUGGGAGGAAGGGCAGUAAGUUAAUACCUUGCUGUUUUGACGUUACCAACAGAAUAAGCACCGGCUAACUUCGUG
rnacentral:rRNA from 1 species